GGGGGAUAGCCCGGCGAAAGCCGGAUUAAUACCGCAUACGAUCUACGGAUGAAAGCGGGGGACCUUCGGGCCUCGCGCUAUAGGGUUGGCCGAUGGCUGAUUAGCUAGUUGGUGGGGUAAAGGCCUACCAAGGCGACGAUCAGUAGCUGGUCUGAGAGGACGACCAGCCACACUGGGACUGAGACACGGCCCAGACUCCUACGGGAGGCAGCAGUGGGGAAUUUUGGACAAUGGGCGAAAGCCUGAUCCAGCAAUGCCGCGUGUGUGAAGAAGGCCUUCGGGUUGUAAAGCACUUUUGUCCGGAAAGAAAUCCCUGGCUCUAAUACAGUCGGGGGAUGACGGUACCGGAAGAAUAAGCACCGGCUAACUACGUGCCAGCAGCCGCGGUAAUACGUAGGGUGCAAGCGUUAAUCGGAAUUACUGGGCGUAAAGCGUGCGCAGGCGGUUUGCUAAGACCGAUGUGAAAUCCCCGGGCUCAACCUGGGAACUGCAUUGGUGACUGGCAGGCUAGAGUAUGGCAGAGGGGGGUAGAAUUCCACGUGUAGCAGUGAAAUGCGUAGAGAUGUGGAGGAAUACCGAUGGCGAAGGCAGCCCCCUGGGCCAAUACUGACGCUCAUGCACGAAAGCGCGGGGAGCAAACAGGAUUAGAUACCCUGGUAGUCCACGCCCUAAACGAUGUCAACUAGUUGUUGGGGAUUCAUUUCCUUAGUAACGUAGCUAGCGCGUGAAGUUGACCGCCUGGGGAGUACGGUCGCAAGAUUAAAACUCAAAGGAAUUGACGGGGAUCCGCACAAGCGGUGGAUGAUGUGGAUUAAUUCGAUGCAACGCGAAACACCUUACCUACCCUUGACAUGGUCGGAAUCCUGCUGAGAGGCGGGAGUGCUCGAAAGAGAACCGGCGCACAGGUUCUGCAUGACUGUCGUCAGCUCGUGUCGUGAGAUGUUGGGUUAAGUCCCGCAACGAGCGCAACC
rnacentral:rRNA from 1 species